rnacentral:rRNA from 1 species
GGUAAACGUUGGCGGCGUGCCUAACACAUGCAAGUCGUACGAUCCUUAAGUGGCUUGCCAUUUAAGGAGAGUGGCGAACGGGUGAGUAACACGUGAGUAAUCUGCCCUCGAGUGAGGAAUAACUUCGCGAAAGCGGAGCUAAUACCGCAUGACACUCUGGAGCAUAAGCUUUCAGAGUCAAAGCCUUCGGGCGCUUGAGGAUGAGCUUGCGUCCUAUUAGCUAGUUGGUAGGGUAACGGCCUACCAAGGUAACGAUGGGUAGUCGGCCUGAGAGGGUGUACGACCACACUGGGACUGCGACACGGCCCAGACUCCUACGGGAGGCAGCAGUGGGGAAUUUUGCGCAAUGGGCGAAAGCCUGACGCAGCGACGCCGCGUGGAGGAUUAAGGCCUUCGGGUUGUAAACUCCUGUCAGAGGUGAAGAAAACCCUUCGGGGUCUGACGGUAACCUCAGAGGAAGCCCCGGCUAACUACGUG